GUGACCUGCGGAGGGUCAUUACACAAAUAUGAAGGCGGGCUGGAACCUCUCGGGGUUACAGCCUUGCUGAAUUAUUCACCCUUGUCUUUUGCGUACUUCUUGUUUCCUUGGUGGGUUCGCCCACCACUAGGACAAACAUAAACCUUUUGUAAUUGCAAUCAGCGUCAGUAACAAAUUAAUAAUUACAACUUUCAACAACGGAUCUCUUGGUUCUGGCAUCGAUGAAGAACGCAGCGAAAUGCGAUAAGUAGUGUGAAUUGCAGAAUUCAGUGAAUCAUCGAAUCUUUGAACGCACAUUGCGCCCUUUGGUAUUCCAAAGGGCAUGCCUGUUCGAGCGUCAUUUGUACCCUCAAGCUUUGCUUGGUGUUGGGCGUCUUGUCUCUAGCUUUGCUGGAGACUCGCCUUAAAGUAAUUGGCAGCCGGCCUACUGGUUUCGGAGCGCAGCACAAGUCGCACUCUCUAUCAGCAAAGGUCUAGCAUCCAUUAAGCCUUUUUUUCAACUUUUGACCUCGGAUCAGGUAGGGAUACCCGCUGAACUUAAGCA
rnacentral:rRNA from 1 species